rnacentral:rRNA from 1 species
AACGAACGCUGGCGGCAGGCUUAACACAUGCAAGUCGAGCGCCCCGCAAGGGGAGCGGCAGACGGGUGAGUAACACGUGGGAAUCUACCCAUCCCUGCGGAACAACUCCGGGAAACUGGAGCUAAUACCGCAUACGCCCUUCGGGGGAAAGAUUUAUCGGGGAUGGAUGAGCCCGCGUUGGAUUAGCUAGUUGGUGGGGUAAAGGCCUACCAAGGCGACGAUCCAUAGCUGGUCUGAGAGGAUGAUCAGCCACAUUGGGACUGAGACACGGCCCCAACUCCUUCGGGAGGCCGCAGGUGGGAAUAAUGGACAAGGGGGGCAAGCCUGAUCCCGCCAUGCCGCGGGAAUGAAUAAGGCCUUAGGGUUGGAAAGCUCUUUCACCGAUGAAGAUAAUGACGGUAGUCGGAGAAGAAGCCCCGGCUAACUUCGUGCCAGCAGCCGCUGUAA